CAGUCGCCGCGGGAAUACGAAGGGUGCAAGCGUUACUCGGAAUUACUGGGCGCAAAGCGUGCGUAGGUGGUGGUUUAAGUCCGUUGUGAAAGCCCUGGGCUCAACCUGGGAAUUGCAGUGGAUACUGGAUCACUAGAGUGUGGUAGAGGAUAGUGGAAUUUCCGGUGUAGCAGUGAAAUGCGUAGAGAUCGGAAGGAACAUCUGUGGCGAAGGCGACUAUCUGGGCCAACACUGACACUGAGGCACGAAAGCGUGGGGAGCAAACAGGAUUAGAUACCCCCGUAGUCCCUGUCUCUUAUAA
rnacentral:rRNA from 1 species